rnacentral:lncRNA from 1 species
UGGUGGUGGGGUGUGGACAAGUUGUGUGCUGUUGGCCUGCCCACGGUCGUCCUUGUUUCAGAAAUGCGUUUCCGUAAGGGGACACGUUUUGUCUGAUUGCCCAACUUGGCCUGGCAGCUCGGUGGGGAGGAGGAGCUCGGGCACUCCAUCACGGCUUGCUCCGCUCUUCUCCAGAUGGUCUCUCUCCCUGAAUAAUUUAGGCCUUGUUUAGUUCCUAAAAAAUUUUGUAAAAAUUUUCAGAUUCUCCGUCACAUCGAAUCUUUAGACGUAUGUAUGGAGUAUUAAAUAUAGAUGAAAAUAAAAACUAAUUACACAGUUUGG